AGUGUUCUCAGCUCGCUGCUAUCUCUGCAGCUCAGUUCAGACACACGCAAGCUCAGCUUGAGCCACGCUCAGUAUGACACUUUGUGAAAGCUUCAGAAUGCAAGAACUUCUUAAACUGAUUGUCCUUCCAUCCAAAAACUUCUGUCUAUGAUUAGAUAGUUGUGAUUGUAUUAAGCGAACUGAAAAUGCAAUUCCUCAAGCUCUGAACAUUUCUGAACUAGUACAGUGGAAGAAAAGUUGUUCUGCCCAGAAAAAACCCUGGUUUCUGCACAGAAAAGUGGAACUGCAGUUCAAGCUCCAGCUUCCAGCAGUUGAAAACUUGGACAAUUGCUUUGGGAACAUUUCUCUUCAAAAGGCUCAUCA